rnacentral:rRNA from 1 species
GAGUUUGAUCCUGGCUCAGGACGAACGCUGGCGGUAUGCUUAACACAUGCAAGUCGAACGAGAAGAUUAUGAUUGAGCCUUCGGGUGAGAGAUUAAUUGGAAAGUGGCGAACGGGUGAGUAACGCGUGGGUAACCUGCCCUAUGGAAAGGAAUAGCCUCGGGAAACUGGGAGUAAUGCCUUAUGACAUAGAGAAGUCGCAUGGCUUUUCUAUCAAACGCUCCGGUGCCAUAGGAUGGACCCGCGUUCCAUUAGCUAGUUGGUGAGGUAACGGCUCACCAAGGCGACGAUGGGUAACCGGUCUGAGAGGGCGAACGGUCACACUGGAACUGAGACACGGUCCAGACUCCUACGGGAGGCAGCAGUGGGGAAUAUUGCGCAAUGGGGGAAACCCUGACGCAGCAAUACCGCGUGAAUGAAGAAGGUCUUCGGAUCGUAAAGUUCUGUUAUUGGGGAAGAACAAAGACGGUACCCAAGGAGAAAGUUCCGGCUAACUACGUGCCAGCAGCCGCGGUAAUACGUAGGGGACAAGCGUUGUCCGGAUUUACUGGGCGUAAAGGGCACGCAGGCGGUUUUUUAAGUCAGAUGUGAAAGGUCCCGGCUCAACCGGGGAACGGCAUUUGAAACUGGAGAACUUGAGUAUUGGAGAGGCAAGUGGAAUUCCUAGUGUAGCGGUGAAAUGCGUAGAGAUUAGGAGGAACACCAGUGGCGAAGGCGGCUUGCUGGACAAAUACUGACGCUGAGGUGCGAAAGCGUGGGGAGCAAACAGGAUUAGAUACCCUGGUAGUCCACGCCGUAAACGAUGAGUGCUAGGUGUUGGGGGAACUCAGUGCCGCAGUUAACACAAUAAGCACUCCGCCUGGGGAGUACGACCGCAAGGUUGAACUCAAAGGAAUUGACGGGACCCGCACAAGCAGCGGAGCAUGUGGUUUAAUUCGAAGCAACGCGAAGACCUUACCAGGUCUUGACAUCCUCUGACCAUCCUAGAGAUAGGACUUUCCCUUUCGGGGACGGAGAGACAGGUGCUGCAUGGAUUGUCGUCAGCUCGUGUCGUGAGAUGUUUGGGUUAAGUUCGGC